rnacentral:rRNA from 1 species
GUGGGGAAUUUUGGACAAUGGGCGCAAGCCUGAUCCAGCAAUGCCGCGUGCAGGAAGAAGGCCUUCGGGUUGUAAACUGCUUUUGUACGGAACGAAACGGUCCUGGCUAAUAUCCGGGGCUAAUGACGGUACCGUAAGAAUAAGCACCGGCUAACUACGUGCCAGCAGCCGCGGUAAUACGUAGGGUGCGAGCGUUAAUCGGAAUUACUGGGCGUAAAGCGUGCGCAGGCGGUUGUGUAAGACAGGUGUGAAAUCCCCGGGCUUAACCUGGGAACUGCGCUUGUGACUGCACGGCUAGAGUAUGGCAGAUGGGGGUGGAAUUCCACGUGUAGCAGUGAAAUGCGUAGAGAUGUGGAGGAACACCGAUGGCGAAGGCAGCCCCCUGGGCCAAUACUGACGCUCAUGCACGAAAGCGUGGGGAGCAAACAGGAUUAGAAACCCCAGUAGUCC